AGCUCCAAUAGCGUAUCUUAAUGUUGUUGCAGUUAAAAAGCUCGUAGUCGAAUAUCUGGCCGGGAAAACCGAACUUCGUUUGGAGCUUUCCUAGGCCAUCCGCCUGAAAAAUUAGUGAUCGUUAAUAGCCUUUGCUUAUGGAUCAGGCACUUUACUUUGAAGAAAUUAGAGUGUUCAGGCAGGCUAUCGCUUGAAUACACCAGCAUGGAAUAAUGGAAUAGGACUUUCAUCAGUUACUGGUUAAUGAUGUUU
rnacentral:rRNA from 1 species